GACGAACGCUGGCGGCGUGCUUAACACAUGCAAGUCGAACGGAAAGGCCCUGCUUUUGUGGGGUGCUCGAGUGGCGAACGGGUGAGUAACACGUGAGUAACCUGCCCUUGACUUUGGGAUAACUUCAGGAAACUGGGGCUAUAACCGGAUAGGAGCUCCUGCUGCAUGGGGGGGGUUGGAAAGUUUCGGCGGUUGGGGCUGGACUCGCGGCUUAUCAGCUUGUUGGUGGGGUAGUGGCUUACCAAGGCUUUGACGGGUAGCCGGCCUGAGAGGGUGACCGGCCACAUUGGGACUGCGGUACGGCCCAGACUCCUACGGUAGGCAGCAGUGGGGAAUAUUGCACAAUGGGCGGAAGCCUGAUGCAGCAACGCCGCGUGCGGGAUGACGGCCUUCGGGUUGUAAACCGCUUUCGCCGGUGACGAAGCGUGAGUGACGGUAAUGGGUAAAGAAGCACCGGCUAACUACGUG
rnacentral:rRNA from 1 species